rnacentral:rRNA from 1 species
AUGCUUGAUUUUUCUGAAGUUAAGGGAACCUACUUCGUGCCCUAUGAGUUCCGUAUCAUAGAAAUUGACAAGCCUCAAGCACAAGAGCAAGUAGCCAAACAAAGUUCGGCUGAUAAGGAUCUUCAAGGUAAUGAUGCACGAAAUAAAGAAAAAGAUAAUGAAAAGGCGUUGGAGAGUCAUCCAAAGACGAAGCUAGAUAUUGUUCAAGUCACACCACCAUCAUGGUCUCCCAACGUAUUUAAAGAGGUAUGCAUAGCGAGUAAUUUACCUAUUUUCAGAUUUGGUCGCACCUUCAUUACUGAUGCAUCUAUAAGAAAUAUUCUCAUAAGUAAUUUUGAAAGACCAAUGAAGAAGGGUAAUUUACUCGCUAGCAAUAAAAUUGUUAUGGAACAUAUCGGUCAACCCAUUGCGCCAUUUAUAAAGAUCGAUAAUGACUUAUUGUUACGGCCAAAGCUUUCCCUGUUGCUUUAUCUAAAGCUCAUAUCUAGUUGGGUAGCUUUGCUUAUUUCGUACUUGGCUUGCACAUGGUCUCAACUGACACAUGUAUGUUCUAAAUAUCUUCGUUUCAGAAAUUUAAAGCCAAGGUUAAAUUCUAUUGAGAAAACUGAUGCUAAUAUAAUAUCUUACCCAAAGACAUCGGAGAUAGAGUGGAAAACGCAAUGCAUAGCCGAAUGGGGAGAUUCCAAAUCUGAACCAUUCGUUUGCUUAUCUCCAAAGCCGUUCAAACAGCAAGAUCGGCUAGAAAACAAGAAGUAUACCUUCAAUUCAAGCAUGUGUGAUCAAAUAUUUGAUUUGUUGCUAAAAAAUAAAUACAUAACAACUCUUGAUCACCAUGUUAAGCCAUCAAUCCAAGGACGAAUGUAUUGUAAGUUGCAUGAUUUGUCCAAGCAUAAUUUUGAGAAUUGCAACAUGUUUCGUCCAAUAGUUAAAUCCACCAUUAAAAAAGGACGAUUGAAGUUUGUUGAAACACCAAGAGAUGACCAGUCUAUUCCGAUUGGUCCCAAUGGCAAAAAGUUUUUGCAUCGGCUGCUUCAAGCCGAUCCAUUUAAAGAGAAUGUAAAAGCUGCAGGUGAUGGGAUCAAGCUUUCAAGUAAAGAAGUUGUUGAAGAGCAUAACGAACAUAAUCUUGAGGGCGAGAAUUCCGUCGAAGCUACAAUGGAGACGCCAAGGAGUGGGGGGCAGCAAGCAAAUCCAAUGAUCAAUGAAAGCAAACCAAAAAAAACAAAGGCCGAAAGCGCAAAUGGAAGGGAUCAAAAAUCACCUUUGUUGAACUAUUGGAAAAAUAUCAAAAGAAGAGUGAAGAGAAGAAUGCUUAUCAGCCAAAUCAUGCAAAGAAACCAAGAUCAUCCCCAAGGCGCAAAUAUGAGGAUCGGUAUUGGCAAAGUGAGAAUUUUAAUGCAACAUAUUCAUAUCCUUAUUUUGGGCCACCAAUGCCAAUGUCGUGGAUGCCUCCCUAUGCUCAUAUAG